rnacentral:rRNA from 1 species
CCGAGUCUGAAUAGGGCGACUUAGUAUCAUGAUGUAGACCCGAAACCUAGUGACCUAUCCAUGAGCAGGGUGAAGGUGUGGUAAGACGCACUGGAGGCCCGAACCAGGACACGUUGAAAAGUGUUUGGAUGACUUGUGGAUAGCGGAGAAAUUCCAAACGAACUGGGAGAUAGCUGGUUCUCUCCGAAAUAGCUUUAGGGCUAGCGUCGAAAUGUAAGUGUAUUGGAGGUAGAGCACUGUUUGGGUGAGGGGUCCGUCUAGGAUUACCAAUCUCAGAUAAACUCCGAAUGCUAAUACACAUGUUCGGCAGUCAGACUGCGAGUGCUAAGAUCCGUAGUCGAAAGGGAAACAGCCCAGACCAACAGCUAAGGUCCCAAAAUAUAUGUUAAGUGGAAAAGGAUGUGGGGUUGCACAGACAACUAGGAUGUUAGCUCAGAAGCAGCUAUCAUUCAAAGAGUGCGUAAUAGCUCACUAGUCGAGUGACCCUGCGCCGAAAAUGUACCGGGGCUAAACAUAUUACCGAAGCUUUGGAUUGAUAUUUUAUCAAUGGUAGGAGAGCGUUCUUAACCGCGAUGAAGGUAUACCGUGAGGAGUGCUGGAGCGUUAAGAAGUGAGAAUGCCGGUAUGAGUAGCGCAAGAUAAGUGAGAAUCUUAUCCACCGUAAGACUAAGGUUUCCAGGGGAAGGCUCGUCCGCCCUGGGUUAGUCGGGACCUAAGGCGAGGCCGAAAGGCGUAGUCGAUGGACAACUGGUUGAUAUUCCAGUACUAGAUAUGAUCGUGAUGGAGGGACGCAGUAGGCUAAGAGAUGCCAGUUAAUGGAUUCUGGUCUAAGCAGUGAGGUGUGAGAUGUGUCAAAUGCAUUUCUCUUUAACAUUGAGCUGUGAUGGGGAAGCAACUACGGUUGCGAACUCUCUGAUGUCACACUGCCAAGAAAAGCUUCUAGCGUAAAGUCAUAUCUACCCGUACCGCAAACCGACACAGGUAGUCGAGGCGAGUAGCCUCAGGUGAUCGAGAGAACUCUCGUUAAGGAACUCGGCAAAAUAGCCCCGUAACUUCGGGAGAAGGGGUGCUGGUGUAAAAGCCAGCCGCAGUGAAUAGGCCCAAGCAACUGUUUAUCAAAAACACAGCUCUCUGCUAAACCGCAAGGUGAUGUAUAGGGGGUGACGCCUGCCCGGUGCUGGAAGGUUAAGAGGAGUGCUUAGACGUAAGUCGAAGGUAUGAAUUGAAGCCCCAGUAAACGGCGGCCGUAACUAUAACGGUCCUAAGGUAGCGAAAUUCCUUGUCGGGUAAGUUCCGACCCGCACGAAAGGCGUAAUGAUUUGGGCACUGUCUCAACGAGAGACUCGGUGAAAUUUUAGUACCUGUGAAGAUGCAGGUUACCCGCGACAGGACGGAAAGACCCCAUGGAGCUUUACUGUAGUUUGAUAUUGAGUACCUGUAAGUCAUGUACAGGAUAGGUAGGAGCCAUUGAAAUAGGGACGCUAGUUUCUAUUGAGGCGUUGUUGGGAUACUACCCUUGACUUAUGGUUACUCUAACCCGCUGGCAUAAUCGGCCAGGGAGACAGUGUCUGACGGACAGUUUGACUGGGGCGGUCGCCUCCUAAAGAGUAACGGAGGCGCUCAAAGGUUGGCUCAGAUUGGUUGGAAAUCAAUCGUAGAGUGUAAAGGUAAAAGCCAGCUUGACUGCGAGAGCUACAACUCGAGCAGGUAGGAAACUAGGACUUAGUGAUCCGGUGGUACCGCAUGGAAGGGCCAUCGCUCAACGGAUAAAAGCUACCCUGGGGAUAACAGGCUUAUCUCCCCCAAGAGUUCACAUCGACGGGGAGGUUUGGCACCUCGAUGUCGGCUCGUCGCAUCCUGGGGCUGUAGUCGGUCCCAAGGGUUGGGCUGUUCGCCCAUUAAAGCGGCACGCGAGCUGGGUUCAGAACGUCGUGAGACAGUUCGGUCCCUAUCCGUCGCGGGCGUAGGUAAUUUGAGAGGAUCUGUCCUUAGUACGAGAGGACCGGGAUGGACUUACCGCUGGUGUACCAGUUGUUCCGCCAGGAGCACGGCUGGAUAGCUAUGUAGGGAAGGGAUAAGCGCUGAAAGCAUCUAAGUGCGAAGCCCACCUCAAGAUGAGAUUACCCAUUCGUAAGAAUUAAGAGCCCAGAGAGAUGAUCUGGUAGAUAGGCUGGAAGUGGAAGAGUUGCGAGACUUGGAGCGGACCAGUACUAAUCGCUCGAGGACUUUACCAAAA